rnacentral:lncRNA from 1 species
GGUUUCCGCUGAGUAGGGGAGGUGGUCCUUUGUUUGAGGGAAGGAUCUUGGGUACAAACAAAGUCCCACAUGGAUUUAUAUACACAUAAGAUAUCUCCAUUCAUAAAAGACCUUUUAGAGUGGUACGACCCAAAACGGACAAUAUCUUAUCAGUAUGGANACUUAUGUGUAUGUGUGAGGAUUGAACUACCUCCAACAACCUCCUGCGAACUCUAUCUCCACCUCUUCUUCCUCGAAAACUCNAAAUAAACAAGUGAGAUAGCCAUCAAAACGAAGAUCUCUUGCACUAGAAUCAGGUAUGAAGCAGUUUAUUCGGUUACUCUCAAUGCUAC